rnacentral:rRNA from 1 species
CCUACGGGAGGCAGCAGUGGGGGAUAUUGCACAAUGGGGGAAACCCUGAUGCAGCGACGCCGCGUGGGCGAAGAAGUAUUUCGGUAUGUAAAGCCCUAUCAGCAGGGAAGAAGAACUGACGGUACCUGAGUAAGAAGCAACGGCUAAAUACGUGCCAGCAGCGGCGGUAAGACGUAUGGUGCAAGCGUUAUCCGUAUUUACUGGGUGUAAGGGGAGCGCAGGCGGCACGGCAAGCCUGAUGUGAACGCCCGCGGCCCAACCGCGGGACUGCAUUGGGAACUACCGGGCUGGAGUGCCGGAGAGGUAGGCGGAAUUCCUAGUGUAGCGGUGAAAUGCGUAGAUAUUAGGAGGAACACCAGUGGCGAAGGCGGCCUACUGGACGGUGACUGACGCUGCGGCUCGAAAGCGUGGGGAGCAAACAGGAUUAGAUACCCCGAGUAGUC